GUGCCGAUAGCCAAGAGGUAAGGCAAGUGAUUGCAAAUCACUUUAUCGUCUGUUCGAACCAGACUCGGUACUCCA
rnacentral:tRNA from 1 species